rnacentral:rRNA from 1 species
GACGAACGCUGGCGGCGUGCUUAACACAUGCAAGUCGAGCGGUAAGGCCCUUUCGGGGGUACACGAGCGGCGAACGGGUGAGUAACACGUGGGUGACCUGCCCUCAGCUCUGGGAUAAGCCUGGGAAACCGGGUCUAAUACUGGAUAUGACUCCAUGACGCAUGUUGUGGGGUGGAAAGCCUUGUGCGGCUGAGGAUGGGCCCGCGGCCUAUCAGCUUGUUGGUGGGGUGANGGCCUACCAAGGCGACGACGGGUAGCCGGCCUGAGAGGCGACCGGCCACACUGGGACUGAGACACGGCCCA